GACGAACGCUGGCGGCGUGCUUAACACAUGCAAGUCGAGCGGUAAGGCCCUUUCGGGGGUACACGAGCGGCGAACGGGUGAGUAACACGUGGGUGACCUGCCCUCAGCUCUGGGAUAAGCCUGGGAAACCGGGUCUAAUACCGGAUAUGACUCCAUGACGCAUGUUGUGGGGUGGAAAGCCUUGUGCGGCUGAGGAUGGGCCCGCGGCCUAUCAGCUUGUUGGUGGGGUGANGGCCUACCAAGGCGACGACGGGUAGCCGGCCUGAGAGGCGACCGGCCACACUGGGACUGAGACACGGCCCAGACUCCUACGGGAGGCAGCAGUGGGGAAUCUUGCGCAAUGGGCGAAAGCCUGACGCAGCGACGCCGCGUGAGGGAUGACGGCCU
rnacentral:rRNA from 1 species